CUUGAAAUGGGCUGAGUCCCUCUUGCUCACCCUUGACUUGGAAAAACCAGUUUCUCUUUUAUUGUCUGUUACUAAUCUCUAUUCUAAAAAUUCAGCUCAAUUCUCAACCAUACUCCAAACUCUCUCUUUUCCAGCUACCUUUACUCCCUCUCCUUCAAUUCCACUUUCCUCUGCUUACUUUUUUUUUUUUUCUGACAGGGUCUCACUUUGUCGCCCGGGCAGGAGUGCAGUGGCUCAAUCUUGGGCUCACUGCAGCCUCAACCUCCCAGAGGCGGGGUUUCACCAUGUUGCCCAGACUGGUCUUGAACUCCUGAGCUUAAGCAAUCCACCUGCCUCGGCCUCCCAAAGUGUUGGGAUCACAGGCGUGAGCCACCGCAUCCGGCCUCAUGUUCUUUUUCAUUAAAGAGAGAAAUCAACUAUUCAGGACCGGCCCCCACCUUUCCUCAGGAGUCAUUUCUGUUCCGCACAGGCCUGCUGAACUGGGUGCUUUAUAUAGGACACUGUCAUCUCUCAAGUACCCAUCUUGGAGGGUACGGACCCCACAUGAGGAUUUCAGUGGAGUGAAGUUCAGGAGGCAUGGAGCUGACAACCAUGAGGCCUCGGCAGCCACCGCCACCACCGCCGCCGCCACCACCGUAGCAGCAGCAGCAGCAGCAGCAGCAGCAGCAGCAGCAGCAAGAGUAACUCUGACUUAGGAAUAGAGACAGCCAGAGAGAAAUGUGAUCAAUGAAGGAGACAUCUGGAGUGUGCGUGCUUCUUCAGAGGGACGGGUGAUGGGCAGAUUGGAAAAAGCACCGCAGAUGGGAACCUUAAUCUUUCUUUUCUAAAAUUGAUGCUAUGAAAAUUUGCGUUUUCUGUAACUUGUAAAAACUAAAAGUUGCUUGUCUACUG
rnacentral:lncRNA from 1 species